rnacentral:rRNA from 1 species
GAUGAACGCUGGCGGCGUGCCUAAUACAUGCAAGUCGAGCGAACAGACGAGGAGCUUGCUCCUCUGACGUUAGCGGCGGACGGGUGAGUAACACGUGGAUAACCUACCUAUAAGACUGGGAUAACUUCGGGAAACCGGAGCUAAUACCGGAUAAUAUAUUGAACCGCAUUGGUCAAUAGUGAAAGACGGCUUUGCUGUCACUUAUAGAUGGAUCCGCGCCGCAUUAGCUAGUUGGUAAGGUAACGGCUUACUAAGGCGACGAUGCGUAGCCGAACUGAGAGGGUGAUCGGCCACACUGGAACUGAGACACGGUCCAGACUCCUACGGGAGGCAGCAGUAGGGAAUCGUCCGCAAUGGGCGAGAGCCUGACGGAGCAACGCCGCGUGAGUGAUGAAGGUCUUCGGAGCGUAAAACUCUGUUAUUAGGGAAGAACAAAUGUGUAAGUAACUAUGCACGUCUUGACGGUACCUAAUCAGAAAGCCACGGCUAACUACGUG